AUACGGAGGAUGCGAGCGUUAUCCGGAUUUAUUGGGUUUAAAGGGUGCGCAGGCGGGGAAUUAAGUCAGUGGUGAAAUCUGGACGCUUAACGUUCAAAUUGCCGUUGAAACUGGUUUUCUUGAGUGUAGAUGAAGUAGGCGGAAUUCGUUGUGUAGCGGUGAAAUGCAUAGAUAUAACGAGGAACUCCAAUUGCGUAGGCAGCUUACUAAACUAUAACUGACGCUCAUGCACGAAAGUGUGGGUAUCC
rnacentral:rRNA from 1 species